rnacentral:rRNA from 1 species
AGAUGCAAAUUCUUCAUGUGGUUAGUGGUUCAUCAGAGGUGUCUGACAGCAGACAACUUGCAAAAGCCGGAAGAUUGCACCCACCUGUUUGUGCAUUGCAGAUAUACUCAUCACAUUUGGCGACUAAUCAAGCAGUGGUCAGGCGCUAACUUCACAACACCAGAUGUGAGCUUCACCACGACGGAGGAAUGGUGCCUUCAGGUGCGGCAACAGAUACCCAAGGCUAUGAGGCGCAACUUCGACACCAUUAUCAUCCUGGUGCGUUGGAGAAUCUGGAAGGAAAGGAAUGCCAGAGUCUUGAUUAGUGCGCCAGCAAUGCGGAUAGCGUAUUCGACACGGUCAGGGAGGAGCCAGCUACAUGAAGAGCGGUCGACUGCAUCUAUGACACAACUACUUGAGUGUAGUAUGGGGCUUCCUUCGAUUUCCAGCCCGCAUUAG